GAGGAAGGAAGUAGUGGAUUGGGGUAAGGUUGUACGGUUUCCCCAAGGAGUUCCAAGAUUUUCUUUCAUUACUUGGCUAACAGUCAAGAACAGACUAUCAACGGGAGAUAGGAUGAGAACUUGGGGGAUGAUUCAGGAGUGUACACUAUGUGGAGAGAGAGAUGAGUCAAGAGAUCAUUUGUUCUUCGCGUGUCCGUACUCUUUCACAGUAUGGCACAACUUGGCAAAUAGACUCCUUGGCUCUCAUAUAGAUCCAGAUUGGCAGCUGACGUUGGAUCAUCUGCAGACAUUGCGAGUUGGUAUGGAUACUAUCCUUCUCAAAAUGCUCUUCCAGACGACCGUCUAUCACAUAUGGCGAGAACGUAAUGCAAGGCGUCACCACACAAGCUGGAGGACAGCUGAGGCCAUGUGUGCUGUGAUAGAUAAGGCAAUGAGGAACCGCAUUUCGUCUCUCAAGUAUCGAGCAGAUCAUAAGUAUGCAGGUCUGCUUCAAAGAUGGUUCAUUCAAACGAUGUAGAUGGCCAUUCUUUAUUUCUUUUUUCAGUCACACAUAGAAUUAGAGUAGUCAUAGAAGCUUCAUGAUUAUUUUGUAAAAGAUGCCCACAGUGGAUGAAUAAAUUUAAAAUUUCAUCAAAAAAAAAAACGAUAAUUAUCCCCCAAUAGUCUAAAUCCUUUAUUCUAAUGGAUUAUAAAGAUUGAAAGACAAAUAGUCACUUCAUGUGUCGAACCACUUGAGAAGAUUUGUUUCACAGAAGAACAUGAGAAAUAUUUGUCUGAUGGUAGCCAAAGUAGUAAGAAGAGAAUAAGGGACGCUUUUCCUUCUGUUGAGAGUAAUAUCAAAGCUACGCCUGUAACUGGUAAUCCUCUACGGAUAUGUUUUGUCUUCAAGAAACCGAGAGAAUCUGAGGUUGUUGUUCCUCAAGUCCCUCAAGAGGAUCGUGUUUGCUCCACCUCAGGGACUGAAAUAUCAAGUUCUGUCUCAGGUCAUGAUGAGAAUCUGCUCCCAGCUUCUCUUGAUAGUGACAAGACUACAGUUCUUUCUGAAUCAAAGAA